UACAGAGGUCUCAAGCGUUGUUCGGAUUCAUUGGGCGUAAAGGGUGCGUAGGUGGCGCCGUAAGUCGGGUGUGAAAUUUCGGAGCUUAACUCCGAAACUGCAUUCGAUACUGCGGUGCUUGAGGACUGGAGAGGAGACUGGAAUUCAUGGUGUAGCAGUGAAAUGCGUAGAGAUCACGAGGAAGACCAGUGGCGAAGGCGGGUCUCUGGACAGUUCCUGACACUGAGGCACGAAGGCCAGGGGAGCAAACGGGG
rnacentral:rRNA from 1 species